UUACUACUCCCUCCGUCCGAAAAUACCUGUCAUCAAAAUGGAUAAAAAGAGAUGUAUCUAGAACUAAAAUACAUCCAGAUACAUCCCCUUUUAUUCAUUUUAAUGACAAGUAUUUCCGGACGGAGGGAGUACUAC
rnacentral:pre_miRNA from 1 species